rnacentral:rRNA from 1 species
GAUGAACGCUGGCGGCGUGCCUAAUACAUGCAAGUCGAGCGAACGGACGAGAAGCUUGCUUCUCUGAUGUUAGCGGCGGACGGGUGUGUAACACGUGUAUAAUCCACUUAUAUGACUGGGAUAACUUCGGGACACCGGCGCUAAUACCGGAUGAGCUUCUGCUGCGCAUGGUUGAAUAGAGAGAGACGGUGGUUGUGUCUGUUAUCGCUGGAUCUGCGCUGGAUUGGCUAGUUGGUAAGGUCACGGCUUACUAAGGCAACGAUGCAUAGCCGAGCGGAGAGGGUGAUCGGCCACACUGGAGCUUGAACACGGUCCAGAGGCCUGCGGUAGGGAGCAGUAGGGAAUCUUACGCAAUGGGCGGAAGCCUGGCGGAGCAACGCGACGUGAGUGAUGACGGUCUUCCGAUCGUAAAACUCUGUUAUUAGUUAAGAACAGAUGUGUAAGUAACUGUGCAGAUCUUGACGGUACCUAGUCAAAAAGCCACGGCUAACUACGUG